UUUCUAAUAAAUGAUAAUUAAAUACAUUGAAGUAAAAGUUUGGCAGUUAAGAAAUAGUUUCGAAAGGUCUGGAAACUAUAAUAAACCAAACAGAUUAAUAAAGGUAAAACCUGUUUUUCAUUGUUAGUUUUUAUUAUGAAAAAUUCCCUGUAGUUUUAUGUAAGUAUUUUUUCUGACUAAUAUAGCAGGACUCUUUGUGUAUUUUUAAAAACAAACUUAAACAUUCAUAUUUUUGUAAUAACAAUAGUUUAUUCUUUUAAUCAAAUUGCACUGACAUAGCAAGCUUAUGAACAGUAGCUCUUAACUCCUUACGUUAUUUUUGAUUAUUCACGGACUGUCCGCAAAUAGUCAAAAAAUAACAUAAGGACAUUAAAGCUACUAAUCCGCAGCUAGGACAUAGUUAACUUGCAAUCCUUUUAUUGACAUCUACCAACUCUCGAGUUUAGAAAUAAGUAGAUUCUUGUCACAUCAGC
rnacentral:lncRNA from 1 species